AUUGAACGCUGGCGGAAUGCUUUACACAUGCAAGUCGAACGGCAGCAUAGGUGCUUGCACCUGAUGGCGAGUGGCGAACGGGUGAGUAAUAUAUCGGAACGUGCCCAGUCGUGGGGGAUAACGUAGUGAAAAUUACGCUAAUACCGCAUACGAUCUAAGGAUGAAAGCGGGGGAUCGCAAGACCUCGCGCGAUUGGAGCGGCCGAUAUCAGAUUAGGUAGUUGGUGAGGUAAAGGCUCACCAAGCCAACGAUCUGUAGCUGGUCUGAGAGGAGGACCAGCCACACUGGAACUGAGACACGGUCCAGACUCCUACGGGAGGCAGCAGUGGGGAAUUUUGGACAAUGGACGCAAGUCUGAUCCAGCCAUUCCGCGUGCAGGACGAAGGCCUUCGGGUUGUAAACUGCUUUUGUACAGAACGAAAAGGUCUCUAUUAAUACUAGGGGCUCACGACGGUACUGUAAGAAUAAGCACCGGCUAACUACGUGCCAGCCGCCGCCGUAA
rnacentral:rRNA from 1 species